ACGCAAACCAACGUUUUUGGAGGG
rnacentral:piRNA from 1 species